AGCUUGAAUCUACACCCCCCUAACCUUCUAAAUCAUUGACCCAUAACCCAUAACCCUUCUAAAGACGCAAUGUGAUUUAUUCCCGUUUCUCUGCAUGUUAAAGUGAAGAAAUUCAACCAAGUGUGGGUAAAUGACGGGAGUAACUAUGACUAUCUUAAGGUAGCCAGAUGCCUCGUCAUCUAAUUAGUGAUGCGCAUGAAUGGAUCAUUAACGAGAUUCCCCACUGUCCCUAGCUACUAUAUUCUAGAGAAACCACAUCCAAGGGAAUGGGCUUGGUAGAAUUAGCGAGGAAAGAAGACCCUCAUGUUGAGCUUGACUCUAGUCCUAACCCAUUCAUAGUUUGGGAAAAUUAGGGCAUAGUUUGGGAAAAUUACACCAUAACAUUUGUCUUUAGGAGUCAAAAUGAUGAUGGAAACAAGUGGGUGUGUGAGUCAAAUUUGAGUCCAAAAACCCUCCCAUAUCGUUAAGGCAUGUGAAUAGUCUAUCUACGAUCAUGAUGGUAUAAAAAUGAAUGAGCUUCUCUUAUGUCAACCAAUUUGU
rnacentral:ncRNA from 1 species